rnacentral:rRNA from 1 species
CCUACGGGGGGCAGCAGUGGGGAAUAUUGGACAAUGGGCGAAAGCCUGAUCCAGCCAUGCCGCGUGUGAAGAAGGCCUUCGGGUUGUAAAGCACUUUCAGUGGGGAAGAAAGCCUUGGGGCUAAUACCCUCGAGGAAGGACAUCACCCACAGAAGAAGCACCGGCUAACUCCGUGCCAGCAGCCGCGGUAAUACGGAGGGUGCGAGCGUUAAUCGGAAUUACUGGGCGUAAAGCGCGCGUAGGCGGUCUGAUAAGCCGGUUGUGAAAGCCCCGGGCUCAACCUGGGAACGGCAUCCGGAACUGUCAGGCUAGAGUGCAGGAGAGGAAGGUAGAAUUCCCGGUGUAGCGGUGAAAUGCGUAGAGAUCGGGAGGAAUACCAGUGGCGAAGGCGGCCUUCUGGACUGACACUGACGCUGAGGUGCGAAAGCGUGGGUAGCAAACAGGAUUAGAUACCCGAGUAGUC